rnacentral:rRNA from 1 species
GUGGGGGAUAUUGCACAAUGGGGGAAACCCUGAUGCAGCGACGCCGCGUGAGGGAAGACGGUCUUCGGAUUGUAAACCUCUGUCUUUGGGGACGAAGGCAGACGGUACCCAAGGAGGAAGCCACGGCUAACUACGUGCCAGCAGCCGCGGUAAUACGUAGGUGGCGAGCGUUGUCCGGAAUUACUGGGUGUAAAGGGAGCGUAGGCGGGAAUGCAAGUUGAAUGUGAAAUCUAUCGGCUCAACCGAUAGCUGCGUUCAAAACUGUGUUUCUUGAGUGAAGUAGAGGCAGGCGGAAUUCCUAGUGUAGCGGUGAAAUGCGUAGAUAUUAGGAGGAACACCAGUGGCGAAGGCGGCCUGCUGGGCUUUUACUGACGCUGAGGCUCGAAAGCGUGGGUAGCAAACAGGA